rnacentral:lncRNA from 1 species
UUUUAUUUUAUCAUUUGAUUUCCUUGCCCUCGCAGUUAUGUAAAUCUUGAGGCAAAGGAGUUCAAAAGAGGUUCUUAUUUUAUACCUGGACAUUUCACUGAACAUUUUUUCUCAAGCUUUAUAAUUAAGAUUGGAGAACUUGUGGGUAUUUUAAAUAUAUACUAAAAUUUGUCCAAAUAGCCAAAGGCAAAGGGAAUGACCAACUGGGUAGCUGAUGAAUAUUUUCCUGGUAGAUGUACAACAACGUUCCCCACAACUGGGAUGCUUUAUCCUUUGACAUUAAGAAUGCUGUUUGCAGAAGUAACAUUCCUUUGAACACUCAGCGUUCUGAAAUCGUGUCCCGCCGCAAGGACUCAAGUAGGGUCAAAGUGGAGUCCUUUCAUGCCCACCAUUAUGUUUCCAAAUGCUACAUAAGUACCCAAGUUUCCUUAUAUUUCUGUCUUCCACUUUUGUAUAUAUUGUAAGACCUAAGGAAUUU